UUUAGGAUGACUCAGGGUUAAACUGUCAACCCUGAUGAUAUCAUCUGAAUCGUGCUCAACACAAUUAGUCCUGUGACUCCUCACUAGGACUACCCUGGCCAAGGUUUUGCUAAAUUGAAAUACGACUGUACACAGCUCCUAAACUGGAGUGGUCCCAUCUUGACACACGUACCGACAAGUCAAGUGCUUGACUACACCCAGCAGCCUUCCGUCACUGAAUUAGAAAUUCAGGUAGUCCAGUGCCUAAGUGCAGUGAGUUGCUUGCAAGUCACCGUGGCGGUCUCAGGUCGGAGGGACAUUUAUACCCAUAUCCCAUCGGAGCAAAUCUUGACAGCAGAAAUUGCUCCGGAGUUGGUCACGUUCAGUGCAGAUGUACCAUUACAUCUCACCUGUAUGCCAUACCAGUGUCUCCACACUCAUUGGUUAUGAGGACAACCAACCC
rnacentral:lncRNA from 1 species